rnacentral:lncRNA from 1 species
UAGGUUUUCCAACUGAGAAGGAAGAUAUGUUAUGGCUAAGCCAUUUUCAAAUUGGGAACAAUGAAUUGGAGUAUGGGGACCAAAUACGUGUUUCGGUGGAGAUGCAUGAUUUUUGGAUAAAGGAGUUCGGAAUCCAGCUUGUGUACGAGCAGGAAAGACCUCCUUCUAGCCAGAAUAAUGUUGUUGCUGGAGAUGUGUCAAUGUCAGCAUCAGAGUACCAAACGUGGACAGGAUCAUACUUUCUCAGUAAUCAUAGGCGCCGUACUCAUCAAACUCAAUUCCGAAAGAGACAGAAGAAUCCAGCACAUAUUGAAUUUUCGUUUGAGCCAAAGCAUUAGCUUCAUACUUAUUCAAGGCCCAAAGACAACAACAACAACAACAACAACAACAACAAAGCCUUUUCCCACCAAGUGGGGUCGGCUAUAUGAAUCCUAGAACGCCAUUGCGCUCGGUUUUGUGUCAUGUCCUCCGUUAGAUCCAAGUACUAAAAAGUCUUUUCUUAGAGUCUCUUUCCAAAGUUUUCCUAGGUCUUCCUCUACCCCUUCGGCCCUGAACCUCUGUCCCGUAGUCACAUCUUCGAACCGGAGCGUCAGUCGGCCUUCUUUGCACAUGUCCAAAUCACCGGAGCCGAUUUUCUCUCAUCUUUCCUACAAUUUCGGCUACUCCUACUUUACCUCGGAUAUCCUCAUUCCCAAUCUUAUCAUUUCUCGUGUGCCCACAAAUCCCACGAAGCAUCCUCAUCUCCGCUACACCCAUUUUGUGUACGUGUUGAUGCUUCACCACCCAACAUUCUGUGCCAUACAACAUCGCUGGCCUUAUUGUCGUCCUAUAAAAUUUUCCCUUGAGCUUCAAUGGCCUACGACGGUCACACAACACGCCGGAUGCACUCUUUCCAUCCAGCUCGUAUUCUAUGGUUGAGAUCUCCAUCUAAUUCUCCGUUCUCUCUUGCAAGAUAAAUCCUAGGUAGCGAAAACGAUCGCUUUUUGUGAUCUUCGCUAGAUUGCUCCGGUCAUUAGUGUGGAUAAGUAUAUAAAUGGAUAGAGAUAGGAAAGCAAAUACAAGAUGUACGUGGUUCACCCAGAUUGGCUACGUCCACGGAAUAGAAGAGUUCUCAUUAAUUGUGAAAGGUUUACACAAGUACAUAGGUUCAAGCUCUCCUUUAGUGAGUACAAGUGAAUGAUUUAGUACAAAUGACAUUAGGAAAUAUUGUGGGAGAAAGAUCUCGUAAUCACGAAACUUCUAAGUAUCGGAGUGUGGUGUGUCGUCUUGACUUGCCUUAUCUGUCUCAUAGGUAGAUGUGGCAUCUUCUCUCUGGAAGUACUCUUCCUCCAUCCAGGGGUGGUAUCUUUAACUGGUGGAGAUGCACAAGGUAAUGUAUCAAUUUCACUUGAAGCUUACUUGUAGUUUCAGGCUUGGUCAAGCGCGAUACAAACCAUGUAGUAGGAGUCCCCCAAGUCGCCGAGCUGGUGGAGAUGCCCUAUCUGUUCCUCAAGCAGAUGCGGAAUCUUCCCUGGAAACAUAAGAUGUUGAAGAUGAGUACUCGAGAGCAAUGCCAGGUAAGUAAUCAGGUAAGGGGUUCCAGGCAGUCAGUUCCUGGCUGGAAGCUUGAUUCCAAGUGCUGACUGAUUGCUCUCUUUCUCCUUGUCUUGCAGGUAAAAACAAGGCCAAAAGAAAAAACAGGGAAAAAGCAUGAUAUGGGAUACUCUUGCUUUUAACCCUGAUGAUAUGAGAUAUUCUUGCUCUAGUAUAGCUUGUUUGCAGAGGUAUUAUCGGGGGGAAAGAAAGCUGAAUAUUUCGAAAGGCUUCGUUGGGAGUGCCCUCUCAGAUAUGAUGAAGGGUUGAGCAUUUUUGCAGGUCUGCCUGUCCGUUGGGGAUGGAGGUCGACAUAUAUAGGAGUCUCCCUAACAACAAGUAGUAAUGCUAUUCCUUUACCCUGCUUGGUCAUAGCACGGUAGUGGGAGCUGCUAGUUUCACAUGUUUUAACUCUGUCAGAGCACUUUGAAAAAGUGGUCUGUGGUAUCUGGCUCUCGAGAUUCGGAGAACGAUGCCUCUUCGAGUUUUGAGAAAGCAAUCAUGAUGGGGGUCUGACUCUCGAGAUUCGGAGAGCAGUGUCUCUUAGAUUUUUGAGGAAGUAAUCAUGUUGGGAGUCUGGCUCUCGAGAUUCGGAGGGGCGGUGCCUCUUCGAUUUUGGAGCAAGCAAUCUUGUUGGGAGUGUUGUCUCGAAUGUGAGUAAAGGUUGGACAUGUUUGCUAGUCUACCUUGCCACGAAGCACAAAGGUUGACACACACAGGGACUUUCCAAUUAUCCAGCAAUGGUACUGUUCCUUUACCCUAUCUUCGAUUUUGAGAAAGUAGUUAUGUUGGGAGUCUGGCUCUCGAGAUUCGGAGGACGGUGCCUCUUCGAUUUUGGAGCAAGCAAUCUUGUUGGGAGUGUUUUCUCGAAUGUGAGUAAAGGUUGGGCAUGUUUGCUAGUCUACCUUGCCACGAAGCACACAGAGGUUGACACACAGGGACUUUCCAAUUAUCCAGCAGUGGUACUGUUCCUUUACCCUUGUGGGUAAUAAUAUGGUAGCUAGACCUUCAAAAUUUAUGUGUCUAAACUUUGUUAGUGCUGUUUCUUUGCUAUUCUUUUACCUUUCUUGGUCAGAGCGAUGUAGUGGGAGCUGCAAGCUUCACGUGCUCAACUUUGGCAGAGAACUUUGGCAAAGUUAUCUGUGGUACCCAUGAGUUAUUGUUGUGUGUGGGAAGUGGGUGAUUGAACAGUAAGAUUCAUGUGCUUUCUACUUCACCAGAAGUCUUCGACAGAAUGCCCAUAAUUUCUGCAAAGCUGAGUGUGCGUGUGACAGGUGCUGACAAGGCUAGAAAAGUAGGUGCCUCUUCGAUUUCUGAGAUCGGCCCUCGUGGUCUCUGAGCAGCCCCAGCUUUUGAGAAAGCGAACGCCUCUUCGAUUGAUUCGGAGAACGAUGCCUCAUCGAUUUUUGAGAAAGCAAUCAUGCUGGGGGUCUGGCUCUCGAGAUUCGGGGAGCAGUCUCUUCGAUUUUUUGAGAAAGUAAUCAUGUUGGGAGAGUGGCUCUCGAGAUUCGGAAGGCGGUGCCUCUUCGAUUUUGGAGCAAGCAAUCUUGUUGGGGGUGUUUUCUCGAAUGUGAGUAAAGGUUGGGCAUGUUUGCUAGUCUACCUUGCCACGAAGCACAGAGGUUGACACACACAGGGACUUUCCAAUUAUCCAGCAAUGGUACUGUUCCUUUACCCUCUCUUUCGAUUUUUAAGAAAGUAAUCAUGUUGGGAGUCUGGCUCUUUAGAUUCGGAGGACGGUGCCUCUUCGAUUUUGGAGCAAGCAAUCUUAUUGGGAGUGUUUUCUCGAAUGUGAGUAAAGGUUGGGCAUGUUUGCUAGUCUACCUUGCCACGAAGCACAGAGGUUGACACACAGGGACUUUCCAAUUAUCCAGCAGUGGUACUGUUCCUUUACCCUUGUGGGUAAUAAUAUGGUAGCUAGACCUUCAAAAAUUUAUGGGUCUAAACUUUGUUAGUGUUGUUUCUUUGCUAUUCUUUUACCUUUGUUGGUCAAAGCGAUGUAGUGGGAGCUGCAAGCUUCACGUGCUCAACUUUGGCAGAGAACUUUGGCAAAGUUAUAUGUGGUACCCAUGAGCUAUUGUUGCGUGUGGGAAGUGGGUGAUUGAACAGUAAGAUUCAUGUGUUUUCUACUUCCCCAGAAGUCUUUGACAGAAUGCCCAUAAUUUCCGCAAAGCUGAGUGUGCGUGUGACAGGUGCUGACAAGGCUGGAAAAGUAGAUGCCUCUUCGAUUUCUGAGAUCGGCCCUCGUGGUCUCUGGGGAGCCCAGCUUUUGAGAAAGCGAGCGCCUCUUCGAUUUCUGAGAUCGGCCUUCGUGGUCUUUAAGCAGCCCAACUUUUGAGAAAUCAAACGCCUCUUCGAUUUCUGAGAUCAACCCUCGUGAUCUCUAAGCAGCCCAACUUUUGAGAAAGCAAACGCCUCUUCGAUUUCUGAAGCUCCGUCGAGUGCAGAUUUUUAUAGGGGCUGGCAUUAAGUUCCAAAGCACACUUGAAUCUCCACCAGUAGAAGCUUCAUUCUUGCACUUCUAAGAUCUUGAUUUGUCCGACCUCUUCUCUCUUCAACACCUUUGAAAAUGUCUGGCCCCUCCGACCGUCGUUUUGACUUAAACCUUGUUGAAGAGGCAGCCCCGCCUUCUCCAGACAACAUAUGGCGCCCAUCCUUCGUCUCCCCAACUGGUCCUCUUACCGUUGGGGAUUCCGUGAUGAAGAAUGAUAUGACCGCUGCGGUGGUGGCCAGGAACCUUCUCACUCCCAAAGAUAACAGACUACUUUCCAAACGGUCUGAUGAGUUAGCUGUUAAGGAUUCGUUGGCUCUCAGUGUUCAGUGUGCAGGUUCUGUGUCUAAUAUGGCCCAACGCCUAUUUGCUCGAACCCGCCAAGUUGAAUCAUUGGCGGCUGAAGUGAUGAGUCUCAAAACAGGAGAUUAGAGGGCUCAAGCAUGAGAAUAAACAGUUGCACCGGCUCGCACAUGACUAUGCUACAAACAUGAAGAGGAAGCUUGAUCAGAUGAAGGAAACUGAUGGUCAGGUUUUACUUGAUCAUCAGAGAUUUGUGGGUUUGUUCCAAAGGCAUUUAUUGCCUUCGUCUUCUGGGGCUGUACCACGUAAUGAAGCUCCAAAUGAUCAACCUCUGAUGCCUCCUCCUUCUAGGGUUCUGUCCAGUACUGAGGCUCCAAAUGAUCCCCCUCUGAUGCCUUCUCUUUCUGGGGCUCUACCGACUGCUGAGACUUCUCCUAAGCAACCUUUGUGAAGGCUCCCUCUUGUGUGUUUAUUUUGACUCAUGUAUAUGUACAUAUUUGUAGCUUAUCGGGGAUAUCAAUAAAUAAGCUUUCCUUCAUUUCAACGUAUUGUGUUAAAUACACCAAAUCCUUCUUCGCUAAGUUCUUUGAAUUUUCUUUUGUUGAAGCUUGUAUGUUGAAGCUUGUAUGAUUCAAGGCCCAAAGACCAUUGAAAAUAUUUUGAAACUUAGAGCAUGUCCAGCAGAUUCCCCAUCUACAUCUACUCACCUAUUUUGGAGAAAAUGAAGAGAAACCUCCUUAGUACUUUUUCCAACAUCAUUCGUUCAUGGUUGGAAGGAAAGAUCAGCAUCAAUUAUCCUGGUGAGUGUCGUCUUUUUGUUCUUUCUUGUUGAAUUUUUGAUGUGUAUUUCAUAUCAAAACAAUUACAAGAUGAAACAUUAUAUAGGAAAAGAAAGAGAACAUAAGCCUAAACUUGCCUAACUUGCCUAACUUGCCUAAUUUCCUAACUUGCCUAACUUGCCUAAUUUACACAAAGAAGGUUGACUAGCCUAACUUCACUAGUCAUCCAACAUGUUUAUUUCAUGCAUGCAUUUUAACAAAAGAUAUGACUUGCAUGAAUUCCAACAUUUCUUGUUAUAUCUUUCUCAAUAUAAACUCAUGGGUUUGUUGGAUUUGUUGCUCUUUGUUUAUUGCUUUGAUUUGUUAAUUGAAUGAAUAUAUUAAACAAAAGGAGGGGAAAGCUCUACGAACUCGUGUAGUUGAUGCAUGUAGUACUCAGUACUACUCUUUCAGACAAUAAUCCUAACUUUUAAUCCCACUUAACGUAAUACAAUUUGGUGUCUGUAGUAUGUUUGGUGGUCUAGAUCACUCAUUUGAGAUAUACAUGUGAACCAGAAAGCUGUUUAACUUGGAAAAAGGCGAAAUUUAGCAUGCCCAUGAACUUUUAAAAUGUUGGGAGCAGCUCAGGUUUGAGUCCCAGCAAAGGAAUGCUUUUCUUAAUUUUUGCACGACUUACAGCUGGUGCGAGGGACCUCUGCGCGUUAACUAUGUGUCAGUCUGGGUCCAUUUAUUCCCUAGCCAUCAGUGUGCUGUCUAACUUUGUCUUUUAUAUUCACAAAAAAGCAUUGGCAGUCUUGACAGUGUCGAAACUGUUUACCGUGUUCAAACCGUGUGCAGGGCGUGUCAGCAUGUCAGAGUGUCUGACACUUUGAGGUUUGGGAGUGUCCGUGCAACCUAGGCUUCAAGGACGAGAUGGACAAGGUGGAGAAGUGGAGAAGAGCGCUUACUGAUGUUGCAAAUCUGGGAGGGAUGGUUCUAGAAGAUCGGUAAUUUCGUAAAACAUUUUCUUUAAUUUGAAAGUAUUAUCUAUAUAUGACCUUUUAGAGGUCGCACUUGGUGCGAUGGCAAGUGCCUUCGCCUAUGAGCGGUAGGUCUCAGGUUUGAGACUUGGGAGAGCAGCCUCUCCAUAAAUGGGGUAAGGCUAGCCGACAUUCACCUCUCCCAGACCCUGCGUAAAGCGGGAGCCUUGUGCACUGGGUACGACCUUUUUUUAUCUAUAUAUGACCUUUUAUAACUUGUUUAUUAGGCACAUUAUUGUUAGCUUAUUGGAGACUAAGGCCACCCCUCUUUCUUUUAGGGUAGAUAAUAUCGUUUGUUGACAAAAAAAAAAAAAAAAAAACUUGUUUAUUAGGUUGAUGAUAGUAAAGCCAUAUGGAGUUGACGGAUUUUGGGUUUAUAACUUUAUACUAUCUUUCAUGUACCUGUGCAGCAAUAUUUUUUAGAAGAUUCAAAUUUUCAAGUCAAUUUUUCAAUGUCUUAUAUAUAAUCUACCUGCAUUACUCAUGUCAAUCAUCAAUUACUCUUUUCUUUAGAUAAAAAUUACAUAGUCUUCAUAUGAUUUGAUGUCUAAUGACCAUAUGUUGUAGGGUAUGAGUGGCAGUUUAUCCAAGAUAUUGUUCAAGAGGUUGGAAGUAAGCUGGAUCGCGUGGCAGUAAAUGUUGCUCCCUAUGCUGUUGGAAUCGAUAAUUGUGUGCACGGAAUCAACAGAUGGUUAAAAGAUGAUUCGGGUGAUGCUGGUGCAGCGGUUAUCUAUGGGAUGGGUGGAAUUGGCAAAACCACCAUUGCCAAAGCUGCUAAUAAGACGAACCUUGCAAAAUUUUAAGGAAACGACAGCUUUCUUGCAGAUAUUGGCUUGCAAAUAAAUCUUCUUUCCGAUAUCCAAAGGGUGAAAGUAAAGAAAAUAAGCAAACAUGAAGGACUGAUCAAGAUUAAGCAUGCUGUAGGUUGCAAUAGAGUUCUUAUAGUUCUUGAUGAUGUGAACCAUUUGGACCAAUUCAAUGCAAUUCUUGGAAUGCGAUAGUGUUUUCACCCGGGAAGUAAAAGUUACCGUAACAACUAGACAUAAAAGGCUCAUGAUAUUUAUCCAGUAUUUGAGAUUAAAGAACUGAGUGAAUAUGAAAACACUGAAGCUUUUCAAGCGACAUGCCUUCGGGCAAGCCAAUCCCAUUGAAAGUUACUUGGAGUCAUGAACCUCGACCAAAUUGAAGCAAUCUUUGAGAAUCAAUUGCUAAUGGUUUGGGACUUCUGACAAGUUGGGGGUUGUCAUAAGGCCAUGUGAGUGACUGAGAUUAACGGUUCAGUCUUGGAAGGGAACCAGGGUAUGUUCUAAUCUCUCUCUCUCUCUCUCUCAAAAUACACACAAUCAAAAAUAAAUUUCAGUGAAAUUAAACUGUGUAUUCAUAGCAACUAAUGACUUCUCUUUGACACAGUUUCUUAGAAGAUUGAAAAUUCUAAAUCUUAGUCAUUCGCAUGGCCUUAGGACAACAUCUGACUUGUCCGGACUCCCUAAAGGAUUGCAUUAAUUUGAUUGAUGUUGAUGAAUCCAUUGGAAACUUGGGGAAACUUAUUUUCUUGAAUCUAAAAGACUGCAAAAGUCUUAUGAAGCUUCCAAAAAGAAUGAACAUGUUGAGGUCUCUUGAGGAAUUUAUUCUUACUGGUUGCUCAAAGCUUGUUCUUCAUGACAGUGCCACGGUUAUUCAUUUACACUCUACAUCUAGGGAUAUGAAUAAACUUAGACUGUUAUCAAUUAUAUCAUCGACACGAGAAAUUUUUCCAAAUGACCGGUACAACUGUUGAGUUGGAGUUCCCCUCCAAUUACAUGAUGCCACAUAUCCUACUACAGCUGCAUAGAUUAGUUUUGUUUAAUAAAAAAAAAAAAGAAAAAGAAAAAACUUGUAGAAGGUGUAAAGUCACCCUCCCAGCGGCCGAUCCCCACCAAGGCGACUCACUUCCGAUUGACGACGACGAAGAAGAUUUCAGCUUCCUCGAGGACCCCACCGACCACAGCGCCGCCGCCCCGCACCAUUCAGAUUCGGACAAUUACGACGAUUUCGAGAACUUCUCCGAUGUCGACGAGGACGCUUUCAGGAGAUGAUGGCAGGCUUGGUAGCCCCAAGACUCCUAACUGGGUUUAUGGCAUUUUCAGUGAUGGGGAUGGGGUGGUGGCCAUUUUCGGUGAUGGGUUGAUGCAAUUUUGGGUUUUUGAUCAAAACCCAUCAAAAUUCACCACCACUUAGUCAAAAAUCCAAAUCAAACCCCAACAAAAACAAUCAAAUUCACAAGUUUUAUCUGAGAAAGAAAAAAAAACAUGAACAGAUUAUGGAAAAGGGUGGAAUGGAUGCGGGUGGGGCGUAAUAGAAUGGAAAAGAGAGGAAUCUGUGUUCUUCAUUUAAUUAAUUUAAAUUCUAUUCUUAAAAUAAAUAUUAUUUGUCAUUAUAAAAGAUGAUGUCAACCUAGAUGUCAGAUGUUAAUAGGUGGAACACCAGGUCAGCAAAUGUACCCGUCACGUGGAAAAUUUUCUCCAUGGACACCAAUCAGGUGUUUGGUGGAUGUGGGCAUGGCCAGGAAAGACUCAUCAAUCAACGAGUUUCUCUCUGGCAAGUGUACGCCCUUUUUUGGGGAAGCUUAAGUUUGUCUUACUGCAACAUGUCAGGUUCCCAAUAAUCUGUGUACACUAUCUUCGUUGAAGCAUUUGAAUCUAAUUGGUAAUCCAAUUUUGUGCCUACCACAAAAAAUGAAGAGUCUUAUUAUGCUUGAGACUCUUUUGUUAGAUAAUUGCACGAACCUCGAAAUUCUUCCAGAGCUCCCACCAAGGUUGAAGAGGUUAGAAGCAAAAUAUUGUACUUCAUUGAAAAGAUUAAGAAAUUUACCAAACUUAUUCAGAUCAUUGGAAUCACUUUUUUGGGGUUAUGAGCAUUUAGUUGAAGUUGAAAGCUUGUUGAAUAUAAAACCGUUGAGAAAUGCUGACAUAGAAAUGACAAGAUAUAUGGGCCUGUGCAGUUUGAAAUCCAUAUCAAGCACUGGUGUCGAAAGAUCUCCAUCUAGCCAAAAUAAUGUUGUUGCUGGAGAUGUGUCAAUGUCAGCAUAAGAGUACCAAAUGUGGACAGGAAAAUACUUUCUCAGUAAUCAUAGGCACCGUACUCAUCAGGCUCAAUGGUUCACAACUUAUUCAAGGCCCAAGGACCAUUGGAAAAUAUUGCGAGAGGAUGUCCAGCAGAUUCCCCAUCUGCUUCUCGUAAUCUGUUUUGGCGAAAAUGAAGAGAAACAUCCUCAGUUCUUUGUCCAACAUCAGUCAUUUCAUUUAUGGUUGGAAAGAAAGACCAGCAUCAUUUUCCUUGGUGAGUAUCGUCGUUUUGUUCUUUCUUGUUCUCGUUCUGAGUAUAUACUCAUGGCUUUGUUGGAUUUGUUGCGCUUUUUGCUUAUUGUCAUAAAGAGCAAUCAAGGAAAAAAAACCGGAACAGUCUGCAUGAGUUUGUUGGAAAUUAUAUAUUAUAGUAUAAAAUAUUGUAAUAUAUAAUUUUAAUAAUUGAAUGAAAAAAUAGUGUUAACCAUAUUUCUUAGAAAUGUUAUGUUAUUUAGGUGCAUUCCCUUGUUAAAUAAUGUAUACUUAUAGAUGAAAAGUUACAUCUCCUAACAAGAAGUACUUGGGUUCUAUUUAAACUCAUGAAACCAUUAUCAUUAAAUAUAGAAAAUUAGAGUUAAUUUUUACUCUUGAGAAAUAAGGUUUUCUCACUUUGUUUCUCUCAUGGUUCGUGUGUCAAAUUCCAAGUCAUGUCUUGAAAGUACGGAAUAUAUAAAGUUCGUCAGAGUUUGAAGAUUGAAGUGCUUUGACUUCGGAUUAUGGAUUUUUGAAUCUUGAGAGAUGGACACCUACUGAACUACAAGCACACGAGUAUGGGCGAAAUUCUAUCUUUAGGACAUUACAUUUAUGCAAGCCUCAAUCUCCAAGUUUGUCAGUUUUUCUAACUUUAUCUCUAGUUGUUUAUAUUAAUCUCCAAUUGGACCUGUUUCAAAAAUAGGUUAAAAAAUUAGACCUAUUUCAAAUUAUCCCUUAUUAUUAUUACAUUUCUUAUGUUAUUUUCAUAUUUUCUAAUCUUCAACAGAGUUUGCAUAUGAAGUUUUCAACCCCCUAUAGAGCAAAACCAACUUGAGCGUAACAGCAGUGGGGCAACAUAUGUUUCUGAAAAUCCUACAGUUAGUUUCCCUCCAAAACUCCUUACAAACGAAUCUUGAGCACCUGCAUUGCCUAAUAAUUGUUUUAACUACCAUGUUAACAGAAGUAAUAACUGUAAACGGACUAUAACAGUUGAGAAAUAUUUAAGUACCAAAAAGAGUCAGCUAUAUCAGAAUAAUUAUACUAGAGUUGAGUCGUUUAACUUCUCAUCUGUUAUGGCUUAGUCCUUUUAUGGCGGACAUUAACUCCGUUUUUCUAUAUUUUCAGAGAAAGUUCGUAAAAUUUAAAUCCUAUUGUUCUUUUUUGGCCUUUUUCUAAUAUUUUUCUGCCUUUUUCUACUGUAGUACUACUCCAGACAAUAAUCCUAGUGGCCCAAAAUUAUAUCCUAACUUUAAAUCCCAAUUAAGGUGAUAUAAUUGGUUUUUUAUGUUUAUGCUCGCUAGAAACCUCAUUGAUCACUCAUUGGUGCCUGUAGUAUUUGUGGUGUUCUAGAUCACUCAUUUGAGCAAUACAUGCGAACCAAAAUGUGGGUAGCAGCUCAGGUUCAUGCUUUCUUAAUUUUUGCACGACUAGCAGCUGGUGCAAGGGACCUCCUUGUGUUAACUACGUGCCAGUCUGGGUCCAUUUACUGCACGUUAACUUGGGAAUGACCUAACGAGGACCUGAGAUACUCAAGAACCCGUACCACACUUUUUCUUUUUCUCUCUUUUUCCUUUUUGUUUUAGGAUUGGUUUGGUAUUGCUGUGUUUUGAAAAAAAAUUAUUGUGAAAAUAAGCGGGUGUGCUGUAAGAAUAAGCGGCUGUGAAAUAAAUCAGCAGGGUGUUUGGUAAACUUUUUUGUAAAAAUACUUUUGGAAAAAAAAGCAGUCUAAUAGUGGGUCUUUUCAUUAAAGAAGCAUUGUAGCUCCGUGUGUUUUAAAAAAAAGCCAAUUUUCCAAAACUGCAAAUAGCAGCUUCAGCUUUUUCCUUUGAUUUCAGCUUAUUCUCACAGCAGCUUCCAAAAUAAGCUUUUUUUUUUCAGUUUACCAAACACCUAAAACCCUCACAGUUUUUUUUCAUGGGUGUUUUUUUUUUAAGCACCUCACUCCCAAACUAGGUCUUAGUCAUAUCUUUUUCUUUCCGUGCGGACCUCAUCGAAAUCAAACAAAAAAAGGAAAAAUUAAACUCAUCAUUAACUUCCGGAUGAAACUUUAAACCAAGUGGUGUGAGAUUUUUCCAUGAUUCAGGUGGGGGGAGGUGGGCUGGGGUCAGUUCUCAUUAUUUACUCACCCCUACACAUCUGUGCAUCCACCCCAAUUUAGAUGUUUUGGGACCUUGGACUAACAAUAUUUUUUAAGAGGUGUGAUAUCCACACACCUCAUUUUACUUCUCACGCAUCCUUGAUAAUUUCUGUCCGUUGAUCUUCUUCAAUUCAUCCGAUCUGACGGCCGAAAAUUAUAAAGGUGUGUGAGAAGUAAAAUGGGGUGUGUGAAUAUCAUACCUCUUUUUCAAAUACUAGAGAUGAGAUUGGAGAGAGAUGUGAGGAGGGAGGAGGAGCGAGAGAGAAUAGUACGGUUACAUUUUAGAAUUUUUAUGACAUAAAAUAUUAAUAAUGAUAAAAGUUAACUAGAGUUAUGUGAGAGGACAUAUAUCAAGCUAAAAGUGUGUGGAUAGCAUACAUCAGGAUAAGUUCAAUGCAUUUUUACUCACUGCUCUCAAGUGAUGGUGAUGCUCACAAUAUUUUUAUUACAGUUCGAUAAGUUUAAUUUUUAAAAUUUAUGUCUUCCACAGCAAAACAGAUUACAAAUAAUAAACAUACGAACAAACGGAUUACAAAUUAUUGAAUAUAUUUGACUAACAAAACAACAAAGAAACAGGAUUGUCGAGACGACUACACUCAACUACAUAGCAACUUAUUAUCCAUCUAAACAAACUACAUUUGUGGGGAGCAAAAUCUAAGAAAUCCUAAUUCAAAUGGGAUAGACCUAAAUCAUAAACUAAUAAGCAAAACCAAAUAAUGAAAUAACUAAUUUUUCAACACUCGUCAAAUUCAAGAGGGUACGUGACAUGAGUUUACCAACAAAUAAAUUUUAAUUUAGACAUAAUGAUGUUGAGAGUAUAAAAAGAAAGUAAAUAAGUACUCACCACAAAUAAGAUUUUCAUAUUUCAAUUCCAACAAUGAACAAACAAAAACAACACUUUCACUCGAAUAUUCACAGAUCCCAAACAAGCCAAUAACUCGCAUCGGCCUCAAGGACUUCAUAAAACAAACCGCCCAUUUCAUUUUUCCCUUUGCCCGUGUGGGCCAAAACCUCAACCAAUUUCCAAUUAUUUCUUUUCCGUGUGGACCUCAAACAUACCACCACUUUUUCUUCUUUUUCUUUUUCUAUCUUUUUUCCUUUUCUUUUUCCCCAUCUUUUACUCACCCUCGUUUACCAAAAAGAAAAAGCAAAGAGAAAACAAAAGAUUCGUCCUUCUUCUUCAGCUGCUCUGGUAGCAUCUCCCACCUCCUCUUCUUCAUCAACUAUUAAGACCGACUCCCAUUCAGAUCCUUGAAAAUUUGGGCAUGGAACUAUAGUUAUCUACUUAAGGUUGCGAGUGAGCAAAAUUUGAUUUGUGAAAUCGUCCAUUUCAAAGUGUCUUUUUGAAGAAACUAGUUGGGACUUUCAUCCAACAGCUUGCCGGCAGAAAGAAAAUUCGCAGCUUUCGGUAUCUUACAAUACACAACUCUGGUGUGUGCGAGGUACCUUCAAGCUCCCCUCUUGUGAAAACAUACAUCUGCUUUAGCUUUCAAUUGAAAUCUUCAUGGCCGAUGAGUCAAAUGCAUUGACUUUGGAUCCUCUUGCUUUCUUAUCUUUAUUUUUCUUUUUAAUAUUUUCCUAUUAAAACUAAGAUCUAAAGUCUUUAAAUUCAUGGAAAUUAUUUUGUAAGACUUCAAUAUUUUUUUUUUUUUUUCAGAAACGUGAACUAAAUCCAUUUCAUGAAGAAAGAUCUAGUCCUUUUCGUUUUUUUCUUCUUAAAAUAAAUAUGAGUCAUUAUUAUUAAUAAUUAAUUUUUUUUAAAUUGGUAGAAUAUAUUUUUGCAUAAAGUUUUAAUAAGAAUUUCUUUUAGGAUUACACAUAAUGUGUCGUUAGCUUUUUACAUACCAAAUUUAUGAUAAUAUUUAUGUACGGAUAGUUUUCUAUGUAUUUAAAUAAUAAUUACAUAACAUACCAAAACAAAUUUGUACACAAAUUUGAAUUACAUAGCAUGCCAAUAACGUACCAAAUUAUUGACACGUUACAUUUAGUAAAUAAAAGCAUUGAUAUAUAUAUAUAUAUAUAUAUAUGUAAUAUCGUUUAGAAUUUUAAAGUACGUUGGUACUUUUAAAAUAUCACGUUUGAUUUUUUUUUGUUUUUUGCAACCACAGUUUAACUUUAUUUUAUUUUAUAAACAAUUCAACUUUUAUUGUUUUUAUAGAACUUUUAUUGUUUUUUAUUCUUUUAAAAUAUAUUGAAAUAAAAAGAUAUAAAUUAACAAUAUAUUGAAAAAAAAUUAGAUAUUUGGUCUAAGAAAUUAAAAAACCGCGCAUCUAGAUCAAAAAGAUAUAAAUUAACAUUAUUUGUUUGUUUUUUAUUCUUACUAGACAACAAUUUAUCUUUUUUUUUGGCCUUCUGAGUGCUACUCGAGACUCCAACUUAUUAGAUUUUCCAUCAAUUUUUGAGAUCCCAAAUGGCGAGCCAAUGUUUCAACGCGUAUUCUAUUCACAUUUUACAACUAAUAAGAAUUUGCCUUGUGACUUGGUAACCAAUAACUGGUGUCUCUUGUACUAUUAUUAUGUUUAUCAUAUGAUUCAUAUGAUGCAUCUCAGUGUAAAAUCCGAUAUGUUUGGUAGCUGGAGAAUAUAUUCUCAAUUUGCAUUCCAAUUUGUAUAUAAUAACUCUUCUUCAUGCAUUCACUGCUACAGAUAGACUCUAUUCAAUAGAUGCAAUGAGCACCGAGCAGCAGAAUCCUUCUUCGUCUUCUAACCGGUGCACAUAUGAUGCAUUCUUGAGUUUCAGAGGCGCAGAUACACGCAAGGGCUUUACAGAUCACCUCUACAAUGCUUUGAAGUUAGCAGGAAUCCACACUUUUAGGGAUGAUGAUGAAAUUGAGAGAGGAGAAAACAUUGCACAGGAGCUACAGACAGCAAUACAAGAGUCACAAGUAUCAAUCAUUGUUUUCUCCAAGGACUACGCCUCUUCCACGUGGUGCCUGAAUGAACUUGCUAUCAUCAUGGAACGUAAAAGAACAGAUGGACACAUGGUUAUCCCAGUUUUCUAUUAUGUGGAACCAUCAGAUGUCAGGAAGCAGACGGGCAGUUUUGCAGAAUCAUUUACUAGACAUCAAGAACAAUUCAAGGACGAGAUAGACAAGGUGGAGGAGUGGAGGCGAGCUCUUAGAGAUGUUGCAGACUUGGGAGGGAUGGUUUUAAAAGACCGGUAAUUUUUCAUUCUCUCCUAUAUUCAGUCAAGUAGAUCAGAUGCUAGUCUCAAGCUUGUGAAAAUUUUAGUUUUUUUUUUUUUGAAAAAAUAAAUAAAUAACUUGCUUGUGUCUUUUCUUUUGGUCUGAAAAUAAAGAAAUUACUGUGCCUCAUAUAUUUUGAUAUCAAUAACAUAUAGGUAUGAGUGGCAGUUUAUCCAAGAAAUUGUUGAAGUGAUUGGAAAUGAACUGGACUACAUGACGAAUAGGAGAUUAAGAGUUGAUCCCCAUGUGAUUGGACGAGGUUACUAUGUGGAAAGCCUAAACAUGUGGCUGGAAGAUGGAUCAAAUGAUGUUGGAGUAGCUGUCAUCCAUGGAAUGGGUGGAAUAGGCAAGACCACCAUUGCUAAAAUUGCUUAUAACCAGAACUUCAAUAAAUUUCAAGCUAGCAGCUUUCUUUCAGAUAUUAGGGAAACUUCCAAACAAGCCAAUGGUUUUGUUCACUUGCAAAUGAAGCUUCUUUCAGAUAUCCAAAGGGGGAAAAUGGAAAAAAUAUACAGCCUUGAUGAAGGUAUAGUAAAGAUCAAACGGGUUGUACGUUGCAAAAGAGUUCUUAUUGUUCUUGAUGAUGUGGAGAACUUGGAACAGUUCACUGCAAUUCUUGGAAUGCGAGACUGGUUCCAUCCUGGAAGUAAAAUUAUCAUAACAACUAGACAUGAGUUAAAGGCUCAUGAAGUUUGUGUAAGGUUUAAGGUUGAAGGAUUACAUGCGCAUCAAUCUCUUACACUUUUCAGUUGGCAUGCCUUCGGACAAUCCCAUCCUCAGGAAGGUUACAUGGAGCAUUCAAGACACCUAGUAAAAUGUUGUGGAGGGGUUCCAUUAGCUCUUCAAGUUCUGGGAUCUUCUCUAUUUGGAAAAACAGCAAAUGUAUGGGAAAAUGUAGUACGCAAGUUAAAGGAAAAUGCAGUACCCACCUUAGACGUGAUUACUGAGGGAAAAAUUCAAAAGAUUCUUUGCAUAAGUUUUGAUUCUUUACAAGAUCAUGAUAAAUGUUUAUUCCUCCAUAUAGCCUGUUUCUUCAUAGGAAAAGACAAGGAUUUUGCAACUACAAUCCUUGAUGAAUGUGAUUUUGCGACAGAAGUUGGACUUCAACACCUAGUUGAUAGAUGCCUUGUGGAAAUUAAUGCCCGCAACAAGUUAACCAUGCAUCAAUUGCUUGAAAACAUGGGAAGGGCAAUAAUUCACAAUGAAUCACCUGAGGACCCUGGAAAACGCACUAGACUGUGGCAUAAAAAAGAAGCAAGUGACGUUUUGAGAAAUUUAACGGUAAGAAACAUGAUCUUUAACUGUAUUUAUUUGCAUUGGUGUUCUACAUGUGACUAGUAACUUAUCCAAUGCUCUUAUUUGGUGGCAGGGUAAGAGAAGUAUUAAGGGCCUCAUGCUCCACUGUCCCUCAACAUUUGAAACAAAGGCAUUUACAAAGAUGCUCAAUCUUGAACUACUUCUGCUUGAUAAUGUAAAGUUGAGUGGAAGCUAUGAAGAUUUUCCAAAAAAAUUGAUAUGGCUGUCUUGGCGAGGAUUCUCUUUAAAAUCAAUACCAGCCAAUUUUUGUAUGGAAAAUCUAGUUGUUCUCGACUUACGGAAGAGCAGUCUGCAACAUGUUUGGAACGGAACCAAGGUAUCUUCUAAUCUCUCUCGCUCUCUCUCUCUCUCAAUACACACAACAAAAAUAAAUUUCAGUGAAAGUAAACUGUGUAUUCAUAGCAACUAAUGACUUCUACUUGAUACAGAAUCUUACAAGAUUGAAAAUUCUUAAUCUCAGUCAUUCACAUGGCCUUAGGACAACAUCUGACUUGUCCGGACUCCCUAACCUUGAGAAACUAAUUCUCAAGGAUUGCAUUAAUUUGGUUGAUGUUGAUGAAUCCAUUGGAAACUUGGGGAAACUUGUUUUCUUGAAUCUAAAAGACUGCAAAAGUCUUAUGAAGCUUCCAAAAAGAAUGAAAAUGUUGAGGUCUCUUGAGGAACUUAUUCUUACUGGUUGCUCAAAGCUUGGUCCUCAUGACAGUGCCACGGUUAUUGAUUUACUCGCUACAUCUAGGGAUAUGAAUAAACUUAGACUGUUAUCAACUAUAUCAUGGACACCUAUCAGGUAUUGGUGGAUGUGGGCAUGGCCGAGAAAGACUCUUCAAUCAACCAGUUUCUCACUGGCAAGUUUGCCACGUUGUUUGGGAAGCUUAAGUCUGUCUUACUGCAACGUGUCAGAGGUUCCCAAUGAUCUGUGUACACUAUCUUUGUUGAAGCAUUUGAAUCUAACUGGUAACCCAAUUUUGCCUACCACAAAAAAUGAAGAGUCUUAUUAUGCUCGAGACUCUUUUGUUAGAUAAUUGCACAAACCUCGAAAUUCUUCCAGAGCUCCCACCAAGGUUGAAGAGGUUAGAAGCAAAGUAUUGUACUUCAUUGAAAAGAUUAACAAAUUUACCAAACUUGUUCAGAUCAUUGGAAUCACUUUUUUGGGGUUGUGAGCAUUUAGUUGAAGUUGAAAGCUUGUUGAAUAUAAAACCGGUGAGAAGCGCUGACAUAGAAAUGACAAGAUAUAUGGGCCUGUUCAAUUUGAAAUCCAUAGCAAGCACUGAUGUCGAAAUGAUGAACUACUUGACCGGUACAAGCAGGAAGGCUCCUGUCCAGGUCUUUCUCUGUCUCCUCUCUCAUGUAUAGUUGUUCUAAUUAUUAUAUCUAUGAACUAAUUUGGCCCAACUGUUUGAAUAGUUAAAUUUGAAUUGUAGAUUCUUGAUGAAACAGGUACUCUAUGAAUGUGGCAUAUAUAGCAUUUUCUUUCAUGGAAGCAAGAUUCCAGAUGGAUUUGGCUUCACAAUAAUAUAUAGAUCUGUGCUGUCAGUUAUUGUACCUUCACAUCCCUUUCUAAAAAUCCGAGGCUUGAAUUCAUGUGUGUUAUAUGCAAGAGAACCAGGCUUGGAAUAUCGUCUUACUGUUCAGCAUUUGAUUAAAGUCAGUAAUCAGACCAAGGGUCUUAUGUGGACCUAUUCCCCACUCACAGUAGGUUUGCCUACUGAGAAGGAAGAUAUGUUAUGGCUAAGCCAUUUUCGAUUUGCAAACAACGAAUUGGAGUAUGGGGACGAAUUACGUGUUUCGGUUGAGAUGCAUGAAUUUGUCCGUGUAAAGGAAUUCGGAAUUCAGCUUGUGUACGAGCCGGAAAGACCUCCUUCUAGCCAGAAUAAUGUUGUUGCUGGAGAUGUGUCACUGUCAGCAUCAGAGUACCAAAUG